AGAGCAUAUCGAACUCGCCAGUCGUCAACGGAACCUCUCUUUCAUCAUCCGAAAGCAGUUGGCGGGAACCUAC
rnacentral:sRNA from 1 species